rfam:Caldimicrobium thiodismutans DNA, complete genome.
GCCGGCGUAGCUCAGCGGCAGAGCAGUGGAUUCGUAAUCCACAGGUCGUGGGUUCAAUCCCCACCGCCGGCU